GUAAGUUAAUCACGUUUUGAUUCUUGAUCUUUCAUGUGGGUGACAACGGAAAUCAACAGAUGCUUCAGUCCAGUCUGGCCACUCAUACUGUCUGUCAUUAUGAAGAGAUCAUCGUCACAGACAGCUACGUUUUGGGCCUUCCUGUAUUUGGUGAACACGACCCCUAUGAUCCUCAAAUGUGCACGUAACCAUAUUAAUGACUCAAAAACAGGAUUGACAGCCAGAUUCUGUAUGAAUGUACAGCAUUUGGAAAGAUAUAUAGUAGUUAUCGCCUCAUCUACAGCCACUGGUGCUUGGACCUCAAUGACGAUAUUGAAUUGUUGUCCGAUCAAGUUUCCUUUGCACAGAGUUUGGUCUUCUAAUCUAAUUUUUCUACUAAUUUUCUACUAUUCCUCACUAUGAUGUUUGUAGCAGGCCUAUAUGAUGGCAGAUACAUGCAUCUGUACACUAUGUAUGCAAUAACAUUGUCGCUGCAGCCUGUAGCGCGAUGACGUAGCUGGAUCAGGUCCAAUACGUACUGGACGUUGUUACGCGCAUGCGCGGUGGUUUGUAUUGGCGACGUCAUAGACACAUGCACAGUAGCGAUCUCUGAAUAUAAUACGCAUGUGCUGGUUUAAAGGGACACGCUCGCUCAAUAUUGUAUUGUGAUGACAUUCUAAUCUGUGUAUUAGUAGUGAUGAAUAUUAAUAAGUAAUUAUUAAUGGAUAAUAUUUACACAAAUCUGAUGCUUAAAUUGUGAUGCUUUCUACACCGAUGCAAAAUGUUGAAACUAUAAAGUUUUAAAUUGCGUAACUUUAGAGCUUUUAAACUUAAAUUUAAUGGAUUAAAAGCAUAAUAUCUUUGUCAAGUAUUAUUUUCAGCGAGCGUAUAUACAACAUUAAAAUGAAGCCAUUUUAUUCAGGUCAUAUUUAUUGUUGAGUGGAAGCAAAAAUGAGUCAAGUAAUUGUCUCAAUGUCAUUUUAAUUCCAAAGUUACAAUAAAAUAAGUAAUGUAAAAAAAACUUAAAAUACCAGUACACAUUUUUCUACAGUGAUCCCAAUGUCAGCAGGGCAUGAACAUAUAUGGGGGGGAACAACAUUAAAACAUUAAUAAUUAAACAUUAGGCUCAAUAUACAAACCGAUCACAGCAGUCAAGCAGUUGUCACUCACUUUUAUAUUAAAAUAUCAGCACAACAAACUAGUUGUCCUUGGGGCUAUAAUGAUUGCCGUCACUGAUGAAGCAGUCUGCUGAGCAAUAGCCGUCAAACUCCUUCACUGCGUAAAACCCACGAAGGAUUCCCUUCUUUCCAUUUCCAAAGUAGCCUGGCGGGAAGUCUUUAAAGAAGUCCCCACACCAAAGGCAUUGCGUCAAUUUAUAUGACACCCGAUACAUCUCCUUGUGGUCACUGAUACUCCAGUUGACAACACCUAUUGUAAGAAAGAGAUUUAAAUUAUUAAAAGGUGCAAAGCUUAAUGCAUUUGCAGUUUUAAAAAAAAUUGUGUGUAGUGUAUAAAGGAAACCUGUCUACUUGUAAAAAUAUUUAAAAAAUAAAAUAAAAAAAAAACUUACUGUCAAGCCAGGCAAAAUGAGCCUUUUUCCUAAAUGAUGGCUCACCAACGACAUCAUGGAAAACCCGACAAGUCAGAGACAGUCUGAGGAUAGCCACAUCUCCAUCCUCAUUGACUCCAUCCAGCAGGCAUGACAGGGGAGGUACCUGUGUAAUGACAGGAGAAGUCUGUCCUGAAAAAAUAAGAAGCGGAGCAGUGGCUGCUGGGCUAUGCAGGAGUGGAGAUUGAGGUUCCUGGCCAGAAAUACCCAACUUUUGUUUACAUUUUUGUAGAUGAGUAAUGAACUGAACUUUUCUUAUUACUGUAGCAGGACAGUAACAGCAAUGGAAAUGUGCAUUUUCUCUACAGAGAAAAUUGCACUUAACAAUCACAAACUCUGGAAAAAAGUAACAAAAAGCACUUAUGCUCUGAUCAAAUUGUAUAAAUCAAAAUAAUAUUACUAGAGGUAAAAUUAUACUCACCAUCAUGAUGUACUGCCAAUUUUAUAUGAUUCUUCACAUGGUUAUCUAUGGAUUGUUGUGAUGUUGUUUUGUACCUCUCACAAAAAGGACAGUGGUACUGGUUACAGCACCGUGUGCACCUUGAAACUUCUGGGCAACUGCUCUUUUUAAAGACAUUUGUCUAGAACAAGACAAUAACAAAUAGUAAUCAUUAGCUGAUCAAAAUUAGGUUAAUCUUGCAUUAGCCCUGUAGCCUGUACACAUGGUAUUAUGUACUGAUAUAACGUUAUAAGAUUAAAAUGUGAAUCCAUGUGCGCAUCAUAAGAGUCAUUUCAGCUAAACACUAAGCGUCACGGGUUUACCGCUUCGGAUACAAAACAAUUCACCAGACUAUAAAUAUUGAAACAACAAAACAGUAAAUGAAGAUCCCAAAGAUUAAUUACCUACCGACAUACAAUAACUGUCGUUAAUCUGGUCAUCCGUGAAGAAUCCAAUGCUGCGUCCGAAAUCGCAUACUUCCCUACUAUAUAGUACGCGAAAAACAGUAUGCGAGGCGAGUAGUAUGUCCGAAUUCAUAGUAUUCGAAAUUCAGUAGGCGAGAAGUACCCGGAUGACCUACUGCUUCCGCCCGAAUUCUGUAGUACGCAUAUCAUGGACACUUUCCUAUCCCAUGAGGCUCCGGGAGAGGAGGCGUCAUAUUCGAAAAAUGGCGGAAAGUGGAGACGCGGCUCAUUUCAAUUGUAAGUACCUCAGGAAAAAACGUUGUUUAUUGUGAUUAAAUGACACUUGUUUAACACAAUCUAAAUAAACGGAUGACAUUGUAAAUCGAAACGUUAUUUGAUAAAUAAUCUAGAAGCUGUCUACGAAGACGUGAUCUGCCAGCAGCUGACCGACGCCUUCUCUGAGCUGUCUGUCCAAUCAACGUUAAAACGCCGAACAUUGCCGGUGCGGUGUUCGUGCAGUGGAGUCUCUUUAAAUUUUCGCGCUGUUGUGACGACGCAUGACACGUGAUAACAUCAAUAUGGCGGAUGUAGUACGUCCGAAUUCCAUUCAUACUACCCACAUUCAUACUAUAUAGAACGUACUUUUUAACGGUCGGGUAGUACGUUCAUAUUUAAAUGUAGUGCCUACUUAAGUAGUAUGCGAUUUCGGACGCAGCACAAGAGUCUUCUUCUUCUUCUUCUUCUUGUAUCAUUUAUUGGCGGUUGACAAGCCAACUUAUGGUGUAUUACCGCCACCAACUGGACUGGAUUGUGAAGCUUCGACGGGGGUUACAACAAAAAAAAAAAAAAAAAAAAAAAAAAAAAAAAACUAAA